GUGCUUGCUUCGGCAGCACAUAUACUGAAAUUUGAAUGAUACAGAGAAGAUUAGCAUGGCCCUUACACAAGGAUGACAUACAGAUUCAUAAAGUGUUCCAUUAAAAAUUUUU
ensembl:snRNA U6 U6 spliceosomal RNA